AGUGAACGCUGGCGGUAGGCCUAACACAUGCAAGUCGAACGGCAGCACAGUAAGAGCUUGCUCUUACGGGUGGCGAGUGGCGGACGGGUGAGGAAUACAUCGGAAUCUACUUUUUCGUGGGGGAUAACGUAGGGAAACUUACGCUAAUACCGCAUACGACCUACGGGUGAAAGCAGGGGAUCUUCGGACCUUGCGCGACUGAAUGAGCCGAUGUCGGAUUAGCUAGUUGGCGGGGUAAAGGCCCACCAAGGCGACGAUCCGUAGCUGGUCUGAGAGGAUGAUCAGCCACACUGGAACUGAGACACGGUCCAGACUCCUGCGGGAGGCAGCAGUGGGGAAUAUUGGGCAAUGGGCGCAAGCCUGAUCCAGCCAUACCGCGUGGGUGAAGAAGGCCUUCGGGUUGUAAAGCCCUUUUGUUGGGAAAGAAAAGCAGCAGGUUAAUACCCCGCUGUUCUGACGGUACCCAAAGAAUAAGCACCGGCUAACUUCGUG
rnacentral:rRNA from 1 species